rnacentral:piRNA from 1 species
AGAGAUGGAAAAAAAGACUACUGAAAU